rnacentral:rRNA from 1 species
AUGAACGCUGGCGGCGUGCUUAACACAUGCAAGUCGAACGGAAAGGCCCAAGCUUGCUUGGGUACUCGAGUGGCGAACGGGUGAGUAACACGUGGGUGAUCUGCCCUGCACUUCGGGAUAAGCCUGUGAAACUGGGUCUAAUACCGGAUAGGACAAUGGUUUGGAUGCCAUUGUGGAAAGUUUUUUCGGUGUGGGAUGAGCUCGCGGCCUAUCAGCUUGUUGGUGGGGUAAUGGCCUACCAAGGCGUCGACGGGUAGCCGGCCUGAGAGGGUGUACGGACAGAUUGGGACUGAGAUACGGCCAAGACUCCUAAGGGAGGCAGCAGUGGGGAAUAUUGCACAAUGGGCGCAAGCCUGAUGCAGCGACGCCGCGUGGGGGAUGAAUGCCUUCGGGUUGUAAACUCCUUUCGCUAGGGACGAAGCGUUUUUGUGACGGUACCUGGAGAAGAAGCACCGGCUAACUACGUG